AGUGAACGCUGGCGGUAGGCCUAACACAUGCAAGUCGAACGGCAGCACAGUAAGAGCUUGCUCUUACGGGUGGCGAGUGGCGGACGGGUGAGGAAUACAUCGGAAUCUACUUUUUCGUGGGGGAUAACGUAGGGAAACUUACGCUAAUACCGCAUACGACCUACGGGUGAAAGCAGGGGAUCUUCGGACCUUGCGCGUUUGAAUGAGCCGAUGUCGGAUUAGCUAGUUGGCGGGGUAAAGGCCCACCAAGGCGACGAUCCGUAGCUGGUCUGAGAGGAUGAUCAGCCACACUGGAACUGAGACACGGUCCAGACUCCUAAGGGAGGCAGCAGUGGGGAAUAUUGGACAAUGGGCGAAAGCAUGAUCCAGCAAUACCGCGUGGGUGAAGAAGGCCUUCGGGUUGUAAAGCCCUUUUGUUGGGAAAGAAAAGCAGCAGGUUAAUACCCCGCUGUUCUGACGGUACCCAAAGAAUAAGCACCGGCUAACUUCGUG
rnacentral:rRNA from 1 species